GGGUUUGCAUCCUUGCUAUUGUCGGCCUACCCAUUACUUUAAUUGGAAUUAAGAUAUGUUUAAUAUUCAGUUUGAUAUAUUUGUACAGAGGCAAGAUUUGUUUCUGAUUUAUAAACAAAUAUAUCAAAUUGACAAUAAACAUGCUCCUAAUCUCAAUUAAAGUACUGGGUAGUGAUUGGUGUUUGGAUAUGUUGAUAAUAAAAACUUGAUAAUAAAGACAAACUAAACAAUAUUUAAAAAAGAGAAUGUACGAACAUAAAUACAACAACACAACAAUAAAAACUAUUUCUGUUAUCUCAAUACAUUAUAAUUUGUAAGAUGCUUCCGAAAUUGAACGUGCACAAUUCAGGUGAAAUUAAUCCAUUUAAGCUUGGCUGACCCCGUAGAAUUUUUUCCAAGCAUCCACAACUCAUAAGGACUGAUAAAAAGGAGAAACAUGAAACGACUUUUAACGUUGAACGUGAUUUUCCACCCCAUACUCAUGGAUCCGUUCAAGGUUUUAUUGGCUCCGAAUAAAUUUGCGUAGCGAACGUUUUAACACUUUAUAAACUAUAGUUAUACAGGUUUUAAUUGUGAAAUAUAUAAAUAUGCAAAUUGGUCUGUUAGUUUUAGUAACUUAAUACGGUCGUAGGGAAAGUAUGGCAGAUGAAAUUACACAGCAAAAAGUUGAAGAAAACUUAUUUUCCCAAAAAAUAGAAAUUGAAGCCGCACUUUUCGUAUAAAAGUAAAACGAUUACAAACUCGGUUUUCUACGAAAAGAGGUAUUUUAUCGACAAAAAUUAUUUCGUUUUCAUGUCAAAUGGUUUAUUAAAUGUAAUUUUCACAGGGUUAUCUUUGACAUUGCUUAUCAUGGUCAUGGCAUGGGAGUUAAUGACACUUACUACAGCUUUUGGCAUUACAGUACCUUCGAAAUAAGUCUGCAAUGCAAAAUGCCUAUAUUUUUAAAAACGUGCAUUUAUUAGAAACUCAAUUUAAUUCAAAACUGAAAUUAUUAAAGCGAACAAAUAUUGCGAAUUUAUUCAUCCAUCAAUAUCAGGGCCUUCAGCACAGAACAUUCCCCAUCCCCCAAUGAGAAGUUCUGUGAACUUCAGAACUUAAUACGUCAUGAACAUUAUUUAAACGCUGAAAAACGUGAUUUUACGUGGUUGCUCUUUUUGUGGCAUAGUAGCGUCAUAAAGUAACUAACAAGCCUAAUAAUUCAUUUUCGUAGAAAACUUGCUAAAGGCCAAUCUAGUCAGUUGGUCGUCAUCUUUAUGACGGAAGUCC